rnacentral:lncRNA from 1 species
UUCAGUCGUGCCGUCCUUGCGCGGCGUGAUUGUCGGUGAGUCAGGUUAAAUUCUUAAAUAGGUCGCGCCUGCGCCUAAUUGAGUCUAUAAAAGCCUGCACAUUGAGUUUUGCUAGCUACAAUGCACUGCGGCUGGCGUGAGCUGUCUCCACGAUGCGCUUCGAGCGUGUCGAUUUCGCCGUUCUUUAUGUUGGCGUUAACGACCUUGAAAGCAACAUGGAUCCACAAGAAAUGUGCGACAACAUCAAGGCCUUGAUUGUUCAACGAGACGGCCCCCGUCGUGCUGGUUUUCAAGGUGCUCCCUCGCUGCCUAGAAGAUGCUGAUGCGGAAUAGAAAAUGCAAAAACGUCGCUUGCUCAACCGCAAAUUGACGGCUACGCUGAAGCGCAUGCCGUGUCUGCGGAAUUUGAACCCCGAGCUUUCCAGAGUUCCUUGGAAAAUCCUCCCAUGCACCUGCCAUGUACAUUGCCCUCCUCCUCGAUGUGGCGUGCAAGAUGGCAGCAGCAGCUGUGGGAACAGUUGAAGAGGCGAAGAAAGGUCCACUUUAUAAUAGGUUGUAUGUAAAUAAAACUGAUCGACCUCAA